rnacentral:snRNA from 1 species
GGAUGUGAGGGCGAUCUGGUUGCGACAUCUGUCACCCCAUUGAUCGCCAGGGUUGAUUCGGCUGAUCUGGCUGGCUAGGCGUGUGUCCCCUUCCUCCCUCACCGCUCCAUGUGCGUCCCUCCCGAAGCUGCGCGCUCGGUGGAAGAGGACGACCCUCCCCGAUAGAGGAGGACCGUUCUUCGGUCAAGGGUAUACGAGUAGCUGCGCUCCCCUGCUAGAACCUCCAAACAAGCUCUCAAAGUGCAUUAUAUGCACGUAUGGAAAUAUAGCAAUGAAACUCCUUUGAACAAUAUAUGCUUAAAACAUAUUCAAAGUAAAAGUA